UACGAAGGGGGCUAGCGUUGCUCGGAAUCACUGGGCGUAAAGGGCGCGUAGGCGGCAAUUCAAGUCAUCUGUGAAAUCUCCGGGCUUAACUCGGAACGGUCAGAUGAUACUGCUUUGCUAGAGUGCGGAAGGGGCAAUCGGAAUUCUUGGUGUAGCGGUGAAAUGCGUAGAUAUCAAGAGGAACACCUGAGGUGAAGACGGGUUGCUGGGCCGACACUGACGCUGAGUGCGCGAAAGCCAGGGGAGCAAACGGG
rnacentral:rRNA from 1 species